UUUGUCACAUGAUCGUCACGCGGAACCUCGCGUGGGGGAACGUGUACCUUACGUUAUUGUUAACGGCAGACCUGGACUACCAUCGAUUCAAUUGGUUAAAGAUCCUAUUGAUGUGUUAAAUGUUAAAAAUCUACGCCUCAAUACCAUCUACUAUGUUCAGAAACAAAUACUUCCUCCAUUGGAUCGAGUUUUUUCCUUGAUUGGUGUUGAUGUGUUUCCAUGGUAUACACAACUACCCCGCUAUAUCCCUCGACAUCGUGUUAUUGCAAGGAAACAAAAACACGGUUUGUGUCAAAGUUGUCGUAGCAACCCUCAAAAGUCUGUCUUUAUUCUGGGAAGUAGAGUGGGGAACUGGGAAAGAAAAUACAGUCAUCUUAAAGAGAUAUGUUUUCAGUGUUGUGGAGCUAGAGAUGAAAAACUGAGCUGUAUAUCACUGGAUUGUCCUGUUAUGUUUAAACUAGAGAAGUUAAAAACAAAUAUGGAAUAUGGAAUGACAUUAAAAGACUUUCAAAAAAACAAUUGAAGAAUGUUAUGGUCAGUCAGAGUACAAAUCUAAAGGGUUUUGGAAUUCCAGUAAGUUAUAAUGGAUCAUAAUGGAUCAUCAUUUCGCUAUUCUGUCAAGGAUUGCCAUCUAAUACAGGUAUAAAUGUACAUAAAUGAUCACAAGAAAUAUUUUUUUGCUCAAUUAACAAAACUUCUUUGGAUAUACUAAACAAUGUCAUUUCUAUUAUUAGUAAAAUAUCUUUUGUUUCUGGACCACUAACAUUGUUUCAUUGUAACUCAUUAUUUUCGAUAUCAACAGACACAUAAAUGCAAGCAAAAAAUGAAUUAAGCAUAGACGGACAAACAACGAAGCACGCAACAUAGAUAUCAAAAUAAGCCGAAUAACAAAUAGUCACUUUUAAACAACUUUCAUGUUAAUAAAAUUUUUAAUUCUUCAA